GAUGAACGCUGGCGGCGUGCCUAAUACAUGCAAGUCGAGCGAACGGACGAGAAGCUUGCUUCUCUGAUGUUAGUGGCGGACGGGUGAGUAACACGUGGAUAACCUACCUAUAAGACUGGGAUAACUUCGGGAAACCGGAGCUAAUACCGGAUAAUAUUUUGAACCGCAUGGUUCAAAAGUGAAAGACGGUCUUGCUGUCACUUAUAGAUGGAUCCGCGCUGCAUUAGCUAGUUGGUAAGGUAACGGCUUACCAAGGCAACGAUGCAUAGCCGACCUGAGAGGGUGAUCGGCCGCACUGGAACUGGGACACGGUCCAGACUCCUACGGGAGGCAGCAGUAGGGAAUCUUCCGCAAUGGGCGAAAGCCUGACGGAGCAACGCCGCGUGAGUGAUGAAGGUCUUCGGAUCGUAAAACUCUGUUAUUAGGGAAGAACAUAUGUGUAAGUAACUGUGCACAUCUUGACGGUACCUAAUCAGAAAGCCACGGCUAACUACGUG
rnacentral:rRNA from 1 species